GUGGAGGUAGCUCAGUGGUAGAGUGUAUGCCUGAUAUGCAUAAGAUCCUGGGUUCAAGCCCCAGCACCUCAUU